GAUUCCCUGAGUAACGGCGAGCGAAAGGGGAAUAGUCCAGCGCUAAGUCUUGACGUUUAGGCGUUCAAGAGAUGCAGCGUUAAUGUGUUGGUGUAUCGUGUAUCGUCGAAUGUUUCAAGUUCCUUUGACAGGGACAUCCAGAGCGGGUGCUAGGCCCAUAGAGACAAUCGACCGAUUCAUGCAGACCAAUGCAUUCUAGAGUCAGGUUGCUUGAGAGUGCAGCUUAAAGUCGGUGGUAAACUCCAUCCAAGACUAAAUAUUACAGCGAGACCGAUAGCAAACAAGUACCGUGAGGGAAAGUUGCAAAGCACUUUGAAGAGAGAGUCAAACAGUACGUGAAACCACUGGGAGGCAAACAGAUGGAACCACGAAGUGUGCGUCUCGGUCGAUUCAAUCAACGCUGGCGGCUAACGGCACUGGAAAAGGAUCUUUUCGGAGAUUGUUCCGGCGUUUUUCAGCUGCAAGCUUUGGUGCAUUUCGUACCGAGGAUGCUAAGCCACGUUCGAUCAGAUGAUUGGGACGGCUGUAAGACGGGGUAGGAGAAAGGUGCCCGUCAAGUCUUUGAUUUGACGGCGUUAUAGUCUCURACCGGAACCGUCGCCUAAUGAACUGAUCGAUAAAAGUUCUCCUUACGGAGUAUGACUACGUUUGCCURUGGYUGCUAGUCGGUGUUUCGAGGUGUUCUUUGCGUGUCUUUGGAUGCGAAAAGCCGCUUCAACAAUGCUGMUUAGUAGUSAUUUGCACAACGUGGUAGAACUGUGGCGCGAGUAGGUCGGUUUCCAUUUGACCCGUCUUGAAACACGGACCAAGGAGCCUAUCAUAUACGCAAGUCGCUCGGUCUUGUAUAGGCCAGAGAGGCACAAUGAAAGUAAAGCUACGAGGCUUCGGUCGCAGUAGCGGCUCGCCUACUUCGUUUAUUGGCGAUCAGGCGAAGCUGGAGCGUAUACGAUGGUACCCGAAAGAUGGUGAACUAUGCCUGGGCAAGACGAAGCCAGAGGAAACUCUGGUGGAGGUCUGUAGCGAUUCUGACGUGCAAAUCGAUCGUCAGACCUGGGUAUAGGGGCGAAAGACUAAUCGAACCAUCUAGUAGCUGGUUCCCUCCGAAGUUUCCCUCAGGAUAGCAGGCGCUUUAUUUGAACUCAGUCUCAUCCGGUAAAGCUAAUGAUUAGAGGUCUUGGGGUUGAAACGACCUCAACCUAUUCUCAAACUUUAAAUGGGUGAGAUGGUUGACUUUCUUGAUUGAAGCCGACCAUUUGGAUGUACGAGUGCCUAGUGGGCCAUUUUUGGUAAGCAGAACUGGCGCUGUGGGAUGAACCAAACGUCGAGAUAAGGCAUCAAAUGCAUACGCUCAUCAGACCCCAUAAAAGGUGUUGGUUGCUAUAGACAGCAGGACGGUGGCCAUGGAAGUCGGAAUCC
rnacentral:rRNA from 1 species